ACAUGAAAGCACUAACACUUGAAAUUGUGAGGAUGAAACCAGAGGAGCAGAAAAUGCCACCUCAGUGGCACAAAAUCUUGCUCAAAGUCUUCCAUGUGGGAGGCAGGAAGGCUUCUGAACAAUGUGGAAGCCCAUCUCUAAAUCCUGCCUGGCUCUUUGGCUGCCCAUCUCAAAAUCCUGAAGCGAACUGUUCUACCCAAAAAAGGUGUUGCAGGGAGAGCUGGAAAGGAAACAAAGGACUUUUUGUUGAGGCUUCGGCUCUUCAGCACACGCUAUCAGCACUCCAUCUGCUUGCUGGGCCCCAGCUCCCAUGUUCUGGUCACCAAGAGUGAGUGUAAGGCCACUAAGGUCAUUUAUUUACGUGCCAAGUAAAUGCCACUCAGCUGUCUUCCCAGAGAGGUUGAGGUUGUCAUGGUGUCUCCAACAUCUUUUCGGUACAUCUUUAUAUUGUGUACUCUAACAGGCUUUCUCAAUCCUGUCUACUGCAAUUUAGCUGUGGCUUUUGAGUCUCUCUUUUUGUAUCCAUGUAAGUGUUUCCAUGUAGUUAUCGUUUGGAACCAUUUAUUUAUUAGCAUCCCCUAACACAAGAUUCUCUUCAAACAUGAUGUGCAUUGAUAUGAAAGCAGGUAAUUGCUUAAAGCUGAAAACGCCUGUUGGUGUUGCAGCAUUUAAAAAGAAAAAGCUAAUGGUUGCUAGGAUGGGGGCUACUAUCAAUUCAAAUGUUGCAUGAAUUUUGUGCUUUCUAGCACAAAAAUUGUGUGCACUUGUAAGACGUUUGCACACACAGAGAUACCUCUGCUGGAUCUAGCACCUCAAGUUUCUCUGGGGCCUCUGUGAUCUCUGGUUCUAUGAAGAUUUCUAGUCACUGUACUAAUAAAUGGUAUGCAUGAAUGUUGGGGAAGAGAGCUCCUGCAGGGCUGGUGUGCUCUGAGUGGCCUGAAAUUUCAUAACUGUUCACAAUAAUGGCCCACGGGCAGGAGAGUCUUCCUCUGCAGGGCGUGCUGGGAAACUCAUUUCUGAGGGUGGCACUGCUCCCUGGGAAGGAGCCCGUAUCGGCGCAAUUUCCAUGCACAGAAUGGAAAUCUUUUGUCCUUCCUGGCGACCGCAGAAUUGAGUUCAGAGAUGUUCCAUACGUGGUGCUGCAUUUCUCUCCCUCCAAGCCUCAGAAGUGCAAGGAAAUGUAAUAAUAAAAUGGUUACAGCAGCAGGAGCCCAGCUGGACGGGUAAUUGUCACACCAUAUAAAGGUAUUUGAAAAGGUGCAAGGAAAAAUAAACUAAAUGUCCUCCUUUUACUGGGGAAACAUAUUAUUAUUUAUGAAUAAUUUUCAUCGUUGAAGGAAAGUGUAAGAUACAACCAGAGAGACCAUAAAACAGGAAAUGUAUAAAGUGUUAUUUACAUUACAUUGGAGAAGAGGAAAUCACUGGCAGGGAGAAUGCUUUUUUUUUUUUUUUUUUUUUAAAUACAAAAUCAAGUUAUUUCGAAUUGCAUACUUUGAUUAAAUUCGGUACAAAGAAUAAUCCAUAAUUCUUCCUGCAAUAGAAAUGUGACUUGUGGUGAUGCUAAUGCCUCUGUCUCAGGUUGUGUUGGAGUCCAUGCACCACGCCGCUGUCUGAGGCUGCAGCAAGAUUCUGCUGUGGUAGGAUUGGAACAAACCUGGAGCUGAGGGUAAGGCAGUUUUCCAAAGGGUUUCCUGUGUAUAACGAGUGACAGACACGAUGUGACAAUAUCAGCCAGUAUCGAUAGCAGCAUGGCUGGUGUCGGAGCAUUAGCAGACCAACAAUUUCCAAUGUUAUGACUGAUGCAGUAAAUACGCUACCAACACGUGUGCUUGGGCUGAGAAUGUGACAGCCUUGGGUUUAAGAGCUACUUGCUCAAGCACUGCUUUUAUGCAUUCAAGGAGGGACUUCCAGCUGCUGCUCUUGGUGUGUACAUGGGUUGUGUGACUGCACCUGGGAAAAGAUACUUGGAAAAGAACAGUGAAAGAAAAAGCACUUUUAUUGUCCAUCUUAAGAAGAGUUCCACCAACAAAACAGUGAAAUAGCCUAACAUAUGGAUUUAAGACAGGUUCAUGUCACAACUCUCUUGAGCCAUACGGCUGCUGGUUGCUGAUGCUCAGAGCCCCCGGAUGCCUGAUUGCUACAUCUGCACACAGGGCCUUAAAGGCAGGGCUGGGAAGAUGAGCAAUUGCUCAGAAUCACCUGUGGGAAGCUCCACGGCUUCCCCAGAGUUGACGCCAACUAUUUGGAAGGAAUUCGCUGCACGGGGUUGCAGCCGGACUGACGAUGGGGUCGAGGUUCGGGGCCAAGCUGCAAGCAUUGAGCUGGUGCAGCAGGAUGGUGCUGUAGUGAGCUGAGCUGGCUCAGCAGUGGGAAGGAAAGAACAUGAAACUGCUUGUACCUACAGCAAGGCAGUGAGUGUUGUGGUACACCUCCCUGCUGAAGGCUGUGGAAAUCCUGUAUUUUAUUCACAUGAGAAACUAGACUUUAAGUGGCCGAUGUAUAAGGCUGUGUGUAGAUUAAAUGUCUGCACACGGUCAAUAUGUGAGUACAAGCUACUGCCUUGUACCACUACAAUACCCUAUGCAUAAUGCAUAGCUUAUGAAUAAUUUGCACAAGGAUCUAUUCCCAAACUUAUGAUAUUACAUGAUUUUUUUCACUCCGAAAGUAAACAGAGGGAAAGUGUCAUCCUUCAGGAAUAAAGGGGACAGGGAGGAUCGGGAGCUGGAGAGCUGAGGCAGCCCCGCGAGGAAGCAGCUCUCGCAGCUGCAUGAGCAGUGUCUGCUGUUAAUGCUCUAGCAAUCCAGGAAGAAAAUGAAAGGCUGUCAGAUGGUUAAAAAUCAUUCCUUUUAUUACAGCAUUACUCACUGCCUUUGACUUUGUGAAAAAUUGUUUGGAAAGCUGAUUGUUUCAAUGGGUGUGGAUCUAAAACCAAAGAAAACACUGCCCUUGGAGGCAAGGAUAUAGUCCUUGAUUUCAGUUGGAAGCACAUAAAUAGUACCUAUUUCUCUUCAGCCUUCUGAGUAUUUUUUGUGCUUCAAAAUCCCUGAAUGAUUACAUGGGUGAGGAAGCAAGGAACGAGAAACCUGCUUAAGAUAAAAAUAAGUUUGAUGCCUUUUCUCUGUUAAUUUUGGCCCAAGAUUCCUGCUGAGCCUGAAGUAAACGCCCUGUGGUGUUGGAAGAAACUGAGUAGUUUCUUUCUGUACUCCUUAUUUUUAUUUUUCCUUUUGGCCCUUCUAGAUAUUCCUGGGAGCAUAUGCUUGUCCCUGCCCACACGACCUGGGAGUCAGGGGAUUUCUGUUCCUUUUUUAAAGCUCAUUCUUUCCAGAUUUAACUGAUUCUGGUGACUUCAGAGAAACAAGUCACUUUGCCAUGCGUCGUGCACAGGAUGUAGCCAGAGCUCCUUAGGCUCAAAAGGUAAAAUUUACCAAGUUUAGUAUUAAUGAAAUCAGGAGUUGUGGGAUUUUACACAUGGGAGGGGGGGGAGGUGAGCUGUCUUGACGCAGAAGCAGCAGAAAGCCAGAGGGAACAAACAUUUUUUUUACCUAAGACAACAAGUUCUAGCCGAGCCAUCCCAAUCCGAAGACAUUUGAAACUCAGUCCUUAUUUUUGUAUUUAAGUAUAAUUUCCAUCAGCUCCUUUCCGGUAGAGUAACAUCUGCCCGAUUUUGAAGUUAGCCUUUCACAGAGGUGUAACUGCCAUCUACUGACUGCCGCACGGAUGGUCUGAUCAGCUUCCUGAAACUACACGCUUCAAUGGCUCUUAAAGGAAGGAGAAGGCUGUACGGACACCUGCGUGCACACACUGAGGAGGAGGAGGUUAUUCAGCCAGGCUCUCCCUCACUGUCCGGUGGCUUACAUGGGUUUAACUUGGCAGACCUGCGGGUGGGAGGUGAAAGCACGCCCCCUCUUGCCGUGCAAAAAAUGGGCUUCAUCAAGCAUUUUCUGUCUGUAUCUGUGGAGGCCCCUGGAAUGGAUUACUCUUCCGAGGCAAAUCUCUUACAGGGAAGUGCUGUCAGCAGGAUCUCCAAAUCGAAUUAGAAAACCUCCACGGAGGAGGGCAUUUAAAUAACCAGCUCUGUUGGUCCCUCAGGAUGUGCUUGUCUGUGAAAGCUUUCAAAUGGCACGGUCCUUUGAAAGCAUUCUCCGUUCUGCAUGAGAAGCUGCACAAACUGGGACCAUGUUAUACAAUGUCCUGCACAAGCCUGGCGGACAGUUGUUUUGAGGAGUGUGGCUUCUAAACUGCUGCUUUUGAAGAUUACACAGAGACCUACUGUAGCUGUAUUGCACCAGUACCUUUCUGGAGCUACUGACUGGAUAAACUCCCUGAGGCUGCUGGACACCUGUGCUCCAUACCCUGCAUGGAAGCUGAGCUCAUCCACAGGGGCUUCUCUUGCCACACCUCAACCAUGCAGCAUCCAGGGCUGCCCUCUGCUCUGGUUCUUUCCCCAGCUUACCCACUGCCUCCUCCAAGUUCUGCAUCAGUCUGUCCUCACAAGAAGAGCUGUCCUGAAGUAGGUCUUUCUCCUUAUGUGUGGGACUGUCUGAUGCUCAGCAAUGACAAUGGAGUACCAGACUUCUUCCAAGGAUAGCAAUGGAUGUUGAGAGCACAUACAAUAGAGGCUGCUACAAGCAUCUUAAGAAUACGAUGAGGAGGUAGGACAGAUGAGUCAGACUGAGUACACACUUUGUUCUUGGGAACUUGUGUCACUCUUAAUGUGUCUUCUAACUUUCUGGAGCCAGUGACUGUACUUUUGAUGUGUCCAAACUGAAUCAAGGAGCUGGAUGAGCUGGUAUAGAAUCACAGAAUUGUCGGGGUUGGAAGGGACCUCAAGAGAUCAU